rnacentral:rRNA from 1 species
AUUGAACGCUGGCGGCAUGCCUUACACAUGCAAGUCGAACGGCAGCACGGGUGCUUGCACCUGGUGGCGAGUGGCGAACGGGUGAGUAAUACAUCGGAACAUGUCCUGUAGUGGGGGAUAGCCCGGCGAAAGCCGGAUUAAUACCGCAUACGAUCUACGGAUGAAAGCGGGGGACCUUCGGGCCUCGCGCUAUAGGGUUGGCCGAUGGCUGAUUAGCUAGUUGGUGGGGUAAAGGCCUACCAAGGCGACGAUCAGUAGCCGGUCUGAGAGGACGACCAGCCACACUGGGACUGAGACACGGCCCAGACUCCUACGGGAGGCAGCAGUGGGGAAUUUUGGACAAAGGGCGAAAGCCUGAUCCAGCAAUGCCGCGUGUGUGAAGAAGGCCUUCGGGUUGUAAAGCACUUUUGUCCGGAAAGAAAUCCUUGGCCCUAAUACGGUCGGGGGAUGACGGUACCGGAAGAAUAAGCACCGGCUAACUACGUG